ACAAGUAAAUAGAACUCGCCCCCUUUUUCUGGGGACAACAGGGCAUUCACCCACUUCUUGUUUGUGUCAGAGUUCAUCCACCUUUUCAUUUUCUACUUUGCUGCUGCUGUGUGAGAAUUGAUAUUUGGGCCUGAGACAACUACAGGAUGUCUAGUAUUUCUGGCUGUAACAGAGCUUUUGGUCUUCUUUGGAGAGCCCACUCUGAAGAAAAGGUCUAGCUAGAUCUGCCUUGAAGCUCUGGUUGGUCUAGGGUGCUGCAGCCCACCCAAGAAAUGUAGAGAAGAUGUUUUUCCUCAGCCCCUUCUUCUUCUUGACUGCUAGUAAAGAGCACUUGUGCGCACAAGUGGGUGAUGCUGCAGGGACUGCUUUUCUUGCUACCAGGCAGAAACAAUGGAUUGAUCUACAUAAGCGUCUUUCUCUCUACGGUCACUUGCCAUGUGCUCUCAUUUUUCUUUUUCCCUGAGCUGGGAGUUUGUUCUUCAAAAAGAUAGUUUCAUGUUGGCCACUUACCAGUCUUUAAAAGUGCCCAGUGUUGUGCUGUAUUCAGGUUCUGUUCAGACUGACCACUUGAAUUUUGUGGCUGCCAAACACACAAACAGGCCUUACUUGCGAUAGGAAAAUUUCCGAUGUAUUUGAGAACCCCAAGACAGCUAGGAUCUUGCGUGGUGGAAUUUAAUAGUUGGUGCAUGCUGUUCUAAUUCAAGUGACUUUAUCAAACAAAUUCCUUGUGAGCAAACACAGUUGUCUGAUGAAUGCUGAACAGAGAUGCUUUCAUCGUUUGUGAGGGUUUUGUGAUGCACUAUCUGAAUUGAAAGUUUCCUGUCAAGAAGCUGGUAUUACAGAUGUUUGUAAUUGGGUGUGGUGCAAAAAAUGAUUAACCUUAAAUGAUCACAUUUUAAAUGUAAAGAUUUCGAUAUGCGGUUUAUCUUGAAGACAGAAAUGGAUUUACUUGCAAUUUACAAACAAGAAAAUUAUGACACAGUAUGUGAAAACAAGAUAAAGCCUUCAGAUAAGACAUAUGCCGUAAGGGAAGACUUAGUGUUCCUGCAGGGGUUAGUUCCACUAUGGUAACUUUUAAGUGUGAUUUUUAUCUGAUACUCUAGGUAUUUUAUAAGAAGUUUUUCCUUCCACAUAUUUCGAUAGAAGGAUCAGUUGUCUGAAAAGUUACAGAUGAGCUUCUUCUGAAUAGUUUUAUUUAUCAUAACUGUUGGCUCUGGGGCCAGUAAUAGAAAAUUGAAAAGAACAUCUAUCAUUUAACAAUGACGUUUUUAAAAACUAGACAAAUACCUGUGAGUGUUUGGCAUCCAGUUUAGUUGGCUUGUGUAUACAGACUUUGUGUAUAUGUUAUUUUCAAGAACAGCUUUGCAUAAAUAGGAAACUGCUGUUAUUCAGAUUAUACUUGCUUAAGACUUAUAAGCUUGAAAGAGAGAAGGAAUAAAACAAAAAUGUCUCCUAUGCUUUCUGGAAAAAGCUUGGCAAUGCUUGCAAAGAUGUGUGCUUGGAAAGCAAUUGCUUCUGCUACCAUGCAUGGUACAGUUCCCAGUCUGCUCCCAAGCCAGCUCACUGACUUGUGUAGACCUUUGGAUUGCCCCUUAAAUGUCCUGAACAACUUGAUUACAUGGAAGAGAUGAUAUACACGGAGAAGAGGUUAAAGCAAGUGUUGCCUGCAGCAAAAUUAAGGUUCCCUUAAUUAAACUUCAAAUGACUAAAUUGUAU